rnacentral:rRNA from 1 species
GCGUAGGAGGGCAGGUAAGUCAGUGGUGAAAUCCCCGAGCUUAACUUGGGAACUGCCGUUGAUACUAUCUGUCUUGAAUAUUGUGGAGGUAAGCGGAAUAUGUCAUGUAGCGGUGAAAUGCUUAGAUAUGACAUAGAACACCAACUGCGAAGGCAGCUUGCUACACAACUAUUGACUCUGAUGCACGAAAGCGUGGGGAUCAAACAGGAUUAGAUACCCUGGUAGUCCACGCCCUAAACGAUGGAUACUCGACAUCAGCGAUACACUGUUGGUGUCUGAGCGAAAGCAUUAAGUAUCCCACCUGGGAAGUACGACCGCAAGGUUGAAACUCAAAGGAAUUGG